GAUGAACGCUGGCGGCGUGCCUAAUACAUGCAAGUCGAGCGAACAGACGAGGAGCUUGCUCCUUUGACGUUAGCGGCGGACGGGUGAGUAACACGUAUAUCACCUACCUAUAAUACUGGUAUAACUUCGGGAAACCGGAGCUAAUACCUGAUAAUAUUUCGAACCGCAUGGUUCGAUAGUGAAAGAUGGCUUUGCUAGCACUUCUCGAUGGACCUCCGCGGUAUUAGCUAGUUGGUACGUUAACGGCCUAUCACGGCAACGAUACGUAGCCGAACUGACAGGGGGAUAGGCGGCACUGGAGCUGAGACGCGGACCAGGGUACUACGGGACGCAGCAGUAGGGAAUCGGCCGCAGUGGGCGAAAGCAUGACGGAGCAACGCCGCGUGAGAGAUGAAGGUCUUCGGAUCGUAAAGCUCGGUUAUUAGGGAAGAACAGACGUGGAAGGAAAUGUGCACGGCUUGACGGUACCUAAUCAGGAAGCCACGGCUAACUACGUG
rnacentral:rRNA from 1 species